CUAGUUGCUCGCCAUGUUUGGUGAACAAGAUAUUUGAAAUUUUCUUACAUUCCCUAGAUUUUAGCGUUAUUAAUAUCUCAGUAUCAUGAAUAUUAUUUUUCUAUUCGUUUGUUCAAAUCUGUUGGAGUUUGAGUUAUGGACAAAAAUUCAAUUAAAUGAAAUAAAUCAACUAAAUAUAGUAAAUAUAUCGAUAAAUUAAUUAUAUUGAAACAUGAAGCAUAAUGCACUGUACAAGUAGAGCAUAAAAUGUUUGAAGGGCAGAAGCAA
rnacentral:lncRNA from 1 species